CGCGUUUCGUCGCCUCCUUUCGUCCCGCCGUGUUGUUCUCCGUCUUUCCCUCUUUCAUUUCUCGAGUACGCUGUAUUUAUAUUUAUUGUAAAAAAUUAAAAUCAAAACAUAGAGAAAAAAUAUUGUUAAUAUCUCGAUUUCGACAGAAUGAAAGUACAUUUGUCACAUUAUUUGCCGAACCCCCACAGGAAAUAUAAAUGUUUCUCUCUCCUUCUCUCUCCUUCGCCUUUCCGCCACCGAAUCGCUCCCCUCCGCGGGCGCAACGAGCUUAUUCAACCCUCGCGUUCCCUCCCCCUUCCAUCUAUUCUAUCUCCUGGCCACCGACGAACGCGUCACCCGACUCGCGGCCGCGCGCGCGCGCGUCUAUCCUGUAUUUCCCGUUUGCUCUCUUUGUCCGUGUCGACAUACGGGACGAGGAUGACGGUCGCGGGACAGAAGAGAGAGAAUGCGGUUCUCUCUUCAUUCUACCGAACUUUCUCCUUGUCGCGUGCGCCCUCGCUCGUGUCCUUUACGCUGAUAUUCCGCCUCCGCACUCUUCUGUUCUACCCUUUCCCCCGAUUCGAUUCCUCUCUCUCUUCCUCUUCUCGCGCUUCGCACCCCAUAGCUUCACGUCUACUCCGUACCUUAACUGUCCUCUCACCUGUCGCGCCAUAUAUUUUCGCGUUCGAUAUGUCGCUGCCAUCACCGUAAACUGCGAGGUAAACUGCGCGCACAUUUUUUCCUCCGAGCGAUUCAUCAAUGAAACAAAGGGUACGUCGUACGGAGACGAACACCUAAGGUGUUCACUGGAAAGAGGCGGUGGAAGGCAAGGGAGAAGGGUGGAUGUGGUCGGGAUCCUCUACCCCUUAUCGGUCUCGUCCUCAACGGCGCGAAACCAUUACCCCGGGAAUGUUGCGCCGUGGAUUAGUUUGAUUAUCGACAUACGGCGGCGCCGCCGAGGCCGCGAGCAAUUUAAUUAUGGAAACGGUAUGCUGCAAAGGACGAACCCGCGAUAUCCAAUUAGUUUCCACGGGCCGUCGCUGCCGCGAGUUCGUAUCUACUCCUUAACGACUGCUAACCCCGAGAGGAACGUUAACUGUUUGCAACUAUCGACCGAGGAACCUUUCGUAUUGACUGUUAUAACGAUCGACUUCUGUUUGUUUAGAAUGCAAUCCGUAAUUGCGUUUCCGGUUUAAAAACUGUUGGGCCAAUUUAUAAAGUUGAUCUUUGCCAUUUGAAGUUGACGUUAGCCGCAAGCCGAAGAACAUCGGACGGAGGAAGAGAGAGAAAUUGACUCGCGCCGCACAGGUGAACAACACGUCCAGAAUUCCUAGUAAACCGUUGGGACGGAUGGUGUCGCCCGCUUACAAGCUGCGGACGAAGGACGAGUGAGGUUACGUUGUUGUCGUACACCUACUGCUGCCCGUUCUGUCAACCUUGUGAGAAAGCGGAGCUGAAUGUUGAAAAGGAGAGCUACUUACUCCCGUAAAUUUGAUUGACUAUGGUAAUCUCAAUAUGGCACGGUACUUCAGAGAAGAAGACAUAGAUGGUUUUAAAACAUACUUCUCCUGUAGAGUUCCGAGAGUGUUUCUAUCUGUUUGCCCGAAGCGGUCAGAUUCGUACACUCGAUGAGCUUACUAUAAUCAUGAGGUCCUUGGGGCUGAGCCCCACUAUCGCUGAAUUAAACAGAUACAUGAAGGACAAAGGU